rnacentral:rRNA from 1 species
GACGAACGCUGGCGGCAUGCCUAAUACAUGCAAGUCGAACGCAGUGGGGACGGGUGCGUAACACGUGGGUAACCUCCCAUCAGAGGGGAUAACACUUGGAAACAGGUGCUAAACCGAUACUGAUGGAUGGACCCGCGGUGCAUUCGCUAGUUGGAGAGGUAACGGCUCACCAAGACCAAGAUGCAUAGCCGACCUGAGAGGGGGACGGGCCCAACUGGGACUGAGACCCGGCCCAUACUCCUACGGGAGGCAGCAGUAGGGAAUCUUCGGCAAUGGACGCAAGUCUGACCGAGCAACACCGCGUGAGUGAAGAAGGUUUUCGGAUCGUAAAACUCUGUUGUUAGAGAAGCGGUAUCUAACCAGAAAGCCACGGCUAACUACGUGCCAGCAGCCGCGGUAAUAC